UCUGUCACAAAUGGCUGAGGCUCAGCCAAUCACAACAGUGGAGCUUCAGUCAGUUGCAGGCAGCCCACGGAUCAGGUGAUGUUCAGAAAAGAUGAAGAAACUGGCCCAGAGAGGUGAAACAACCCAGCCGAUGUCAUGUCGUAGCUAAGAUGACAGCUGUUGGCCUGUACCUCGGCCCUCAAGUUUCCCAUGCAAUGUGCUUCCUACUAUUCAUUGUUGCCCCGUCUCUAGAAAUGCUGUAAAAAUCUACACAGAAAACCUGACCGUCUAUGUGGUUCUUGCGGAGGAAUGAAAAGAAACAUGGCAAAUGAGGAACAGAAAAUAUGACACAAAUUGUGAAAAUGGUAUACAGCAGCUCAGCUUUGGGAAACGUGAGUCCUGUCUGCUUAUGGAUGUAUCGAUUCAUGGGUAUUACACUUGUCUCCCAAGUUGCUUGCUGAUGCUUUCAAGGUCAGGUAAUAACAUUCUCCAAGGAACUAAGCGGAGUGGCUGUCCUCAUUUCUCCCCUGACCUGCAGGCUGGCUGGCUGGUUGCCUUGCUUCUGGGAGAUGGCCAGGCAGCCUGUUGCUCCCUGUGCCCCUCACCGACCAGGCAGCUCACUCCCUUUGUGGCAGCCUCAUGUCAAAACCCAUCAGAAUAAGAGACUAUUAAUGAGGAUGGGAAGAGACAGA